UCCCUGGAGGACUAGUGGUUAGGCCACAUCGCUCUCACCGCUGCGGCCCGGUUUGAUUCCCAGCCAGGGUG
rnacentral:tRNA from 1 species